rnacentral:rRNA from 1 species
GACGAACGCUGGCGGCGUGCUUAACACAUGCAAGUCGAGCGGUAAGGCCCUUUCGGGGGGUACACGAGCGGCGAACGGGUGAGUAACACGUGGGUGACCUGCCCUCAGCUCUGGGAUAAGCCUGGGAAACCGGGUCUAAUACCGGAUAUGACUCCAUGACGCAUGUUGUGGGGUGGAAAGCCUUGUGCGGCUGAGGAUGGGCCCGCGGCCUAUCAGCUUGUUGGUGGGGUGAUGGCCUACCAAGGCGACGACGGGUAGCCGGCCUGAGAGGGCGACCGGCCACACUGGGACUGAGACACGGCCCAGACCCCUACGGGAGGCAGCAGUGGGGAAUCUUGCGCAAUGGGCGAAAGCCUGACGCAGCGACGCCGCGUGAGGGAUGACGGCCUCGG